GAUCAACGCUGGCGGCGUGCCUAAUACAUGCCAGUCGAGCGAACAGAUAAGGAGCUUGCUCCUUUGACGUUAGCGGCGGACGGGUGAGUAACACGUGGGUAACCUACCUAUAAGACUGGAAUAACUCCGGGAAACCGGGGCUAAUGCCGGAUAACAUUUAGAACCGCAUGGUUCUAAAGUGAAAGAUGGUUUUGCUAUCACUUAUAGAUGGACCCGCGCCGUAUUAGCUAGUUGGUAAGGUAACGGCUUACCAAGGCAACGAUACGUAGCCGACCUGAGAGGGUGAUCGGCCACACUGGAACUGAGACACGGUCCAGACUCCUACGGGAGGCAGCAGUAGGGAAUCUUCCGCAAUGGGCGAAAGCCUGACGGAGCAACGCCGCGUGAGUGAUGAAGGUCUUCGGAUCGUAAAACUCUGUUAUUAGGGAAGAACAAAUGUGUAAGUAACUGUGCACGUCUUGACGGUACCUAAUCAGAAAGCCACGGCUAACUACGUG
rnacentral:rRNA from 1 species